UUCUUUUAGAAUUUAUUAAAGGUAAUUUCUGCCCUAUGAUUUUAUUAAUUUAAAUGGCUGCAGUAUCUUGACUGUACAAAGGUAGCAUAAUAAUUAGUCUUUUAAUUGAGGACUUGAAUGAAUGGAUAUCUGAGGAAUUAAUUUUAUUGUUUUUAUUAUUAAAAUUUUAUUUCUUGGUAAAAAAGCUAAGUUAUUUUUUAGGGACGAGAAGACCCUAUAGAACUUUAAAUUUAAUAAUUUUAUUGUUUUUUGGUUAAUUUCUUUUUUAAUGUUAAUAAAUUUUUAAUUGGGGUGAUUAUUAAAUUUAAUUGACUUUAUUUUUUUAAAUCAUUAAUUUAUGUUAAAUUGAUCUUUAUUAAGGAUUAUAAGAUAAGUUACCUUAGGGAUAACAGCGUAAUUUUAAUUAGAAGUUCAUAUUUAAAUUAGAGUUUGCGACCUCGAUGUUGAAUUAAGAAAAAGUUAAGGUGUAGUUGCUUUAAAGUUGAGUCUGUUCGACUCUUA
rnacentral:rRNA from 1 species